CCUGCAUUUGGCUGCAACCUUGCUGCAGAGGGGGAUUUGGAUUUUUAUGUACACAUUUUUCUGAUUAACGUAGACAACUCUGAAGGCGGCACUCCACUCCCAGGGGCACAAUCAAGGGUCUUUCUGUUGAAGACAGUAAAGGCUGAAUCAGGUCUACAGGUUGAAUCAGGAUGAAGACUGUGCUAGCAUGACUAUGCUGAAUUUUCUCAGGGGCAAACU